rnacentral:lncRNA from 1 species
UCCCAUAGGAACUUCCACGGGGAGUCGGAGGAGUGGCUACCUUACCCCGCCUGGGCUCACUGCCCUCCAAAAACUCACGUCACCUGCAGCAUCAGGGCAGGUGGCCGGGAGACUCCAUGCUCCAGCUCUAGCACCGUCUCCUUAUCCUGCAGGAGAGCCAGGCUCUGGAUGCAGGGCAUCAGCAAAGGAGGGGGCUGAUGAAAGGGUGCCCCUCCCCACACGAGGACCACACCGAUGGACUCUCUUUGGUGAGAAAGAGUGUUUGAAAUAUGAGUGGGUUUGUUAGAUUUAGGGGGUUUUGGUUUGUUUGUUUUUCUUUUCUGGAUAGAAAUUUAAAAAGAAAAUUAAGAAAUUAAGACAUUGGCCCAGGAGUCCCAUGCAAAACUGAGGAAGUACCUGGGUGUGGAAGAAAAGCCUUGCCAGGGAGACAGAUCCUGGCGUCUCGGGGCACCACCGUGCUUAGGGAGCAAUGGAGGCUGGCUGCAAGGUCAGGAGAGGGGUAUCAGGAAGUCCUGGAGGAGAGGAGGUCUGUCCACUCCACAGCUGCCCAAGGGCCCCACCAUGGGUCUCAGAGGCUCGGCCAGCCCCUCAUGAGGCCCGGGAAGCCAGAAGCUGCCACUUCUUACACGAGAGGAAGCAGGCUGUGCUGGAGGGGUGAGUGUGAGCUGCAGCAGAGUUUGCAGAAGUGGAGGAAUUUGUGGGCAGUGAAAUCUUUGUGUCUGUGUGAGGCGAAGCCUGGGCUGAGAAGGGAACCCCUGGGGGUGCAGAGUCAGUACACACCCCACUCUGGUGCAUGCAUGUGCAAGAGAAACGGCAAGUACACAUGAGCCACAAAAACCCCUAACCGCCACCCUCCACACACACACACUUGCAGAGCUCUGUUGGGGCUGGUGCAUAGCCCUGCACUUUCACAUUGACCUCUGCCCACAGCCCAGGCUAUACCACCUCACACCCACCCAGGUGGGCAUACUCACAUGUGUCACAGGGACAGUCCUGGGCCCCUGUCUUGGGGAGUGGCCCCAGCCCCUGCACAUUCUCUCUUCUCAAGCCCAACCAUCCUCACCGAACCCAUGGACAUCUUAUCAGGAAGGCCUUUCUCUGCUCUGUCUGUCAAUAGAGAACAGGGAUUGGGCUUCUCCUGUGACUCACCCAGACCAUCCCACCCACCUACCCACCACCUUUGGCCCUGAGAGCCCCCUCCCCAAUCCAGCAGUGUCUGGGCUUGUGGGUCUGGCCACUGCUUAGAGCAUCCGGCAGGGGCUGAAAGCUAUUUGCCUGCAAGCCCCAUUGCAUUGGCCCAAAGCAGGAGCUGAGGGGGGAGGUGCUCUCUGACUGCUCUGCCUUGGGACCUAUCUCUGCAAAGUAUGGCUUCCCAUGAAGGUCUUCCAGAAUGUCCUUCUCUCUCUCCGCUCCACAGGGAGCAGGGCAGGGGCAGAUGGCACUGUUUAGGGACCUAGAAUGCCUGCAUGUCCCUUGGCCCAGCAUCUACAAUGGCAUGACCAUAUGUGUGCACCUGUCCUGGUGUCACAGUGCAGACCGUCACAGCCCAGUCAAUUGGUGACACCAAGAUGUGUCCGAGUCUGCACCACACUGGACAAGGGAGGGGAACUACUCGUUUACUCAGAGAAGAGGGCAGAGGGUCAGCCUGGGUCUGAGUGGUGGGCAGGGACAUCAGUCCAUGAAGGUGUGGGGUCUGGGAGGGCAGACGGUGCUAGGGGUGACGCUGUGUGGGUGACAGGGAGAAGCAGGCGGCACAGGGGGAGAAGGCGGACCCUGCCAGCAGGUGACCCAGGUUCAAAUCCUGCUUUGUCUCUGGUUCUGCAGCCCAGCCUCGAGGAGAAGGGGUUGUGAAUCAUCUUCCUCUCACCCCACAAGGAAAGCAAAAUCUUUGGCUUUCUUGAAAGAUCUGAAUAGCUUCCAAGUGGGUGCCUUCUAAGCACCCACUUCUAUAAAAUGGAGAGCAAACAGGGCCACCCCACAGGGAUGUUCUGAAGAUUAAUGCGGGGAAGAGGGAAGCACUCACUUAGCCAUAUUACUGGCCUGGUCUGUGGGCGAGGACAGUGGUUCUGAAUUGAUUGUGCCCCAGAGGGCAUAAUUCAGUGUCUGGGCCCCUUUUUGGGUGGUAAAACCUGGGGCAGUGGGUGAUAGAAACCAGGGGUUCUGCUGACAUCCUGCAGAGUCAGGACACCCCUGCAAUCGAGAGGCCAGUAGCUCAGAGGCUGGGGACCCGGGCAGGGCGCUUGCCUUCCUCCUGAAGACAGUGAGAUGAUGGCGAGUGGAGGCAGCAAAUUGUGACAUGACUGCACGUUAGGGGCCCUGCAGACCUGCAGAUAAGCUAGGUGCCUCCAGAGGGGCAUCAGCAGAACUGGCUGGGGAGGGAGGACUGGGCCGGGUCUGGGGGACGCUGAGGCCUCUGGCUUGUGGGAGUGGUGGGGAAAGACUGUUUAGCUUCCAAGAGCUUGAGCUGAGCUGAAAGCUCCUUCAGCAGCCUGAACAUCAGCCAUGUCCCCUCCAUGCUCCGGCUCCCAUUCUUCCUCCAGGACACAGGACCCCCCACAAGAAACACUUCCCCACAUCCUUGGGGCCCUGGGAAGGGGGCAUUUGAUUUCUUCCUCUUCUCCCUCCAGCCCCUUGCAUGGAUGGAGACAGAGGCCCCUCAGCAGACCAGCUGCAGAUGGAAAAGAAAGGCUCUGGGCCCUGAUGCCCAGCACCCCAGCACCCUCUGCAGCUUCCCGGGGACUGGCGCUCCGUAUCUGCUAGGGACAGAGGGGAGGACGUGGAGCACAGGCAGAGCCUCCUUUAGCCCCAGCUCCCCUGCCCCUUCGCACAGGCUCUGAAGACAAGUUAUAGGACACGGGAGAAACCCCAAGCAGCCAUCAGCAAGUGGGCGGGUGGAGUCCUGACCUGACACCAGAACAGUUGAAGAUGCCACCCCUCCCUCACAGUGACUGCACACCUCCUCGGGAGAUCAGAAAGGCACUGAAAGACAGAGGCCCGGUGUGGUACAAGGUGCUCUGGGGAAGGAUCAGACUGUUCCUUGGGGCCUAAAGCAGGCUCCUCAGGCUCACAGACUGCUGACUGCCCAGGCUGCUUCUGCCUGCCUGGACCACUGUGUUGAGAAGGAUUCUGAAGCAGAGGACUGUGGUUAAUUCGUGAUGCCUAUGGGGAGGGCCAAAGGAUGUGACAACAUACAGCUACUUCUCUACCUUCCUGCUUAAAAGCAGUGGACAGGGAUCAUUGGUAAGGGCUCUUCCAGUUUGCAAAUUCUCUAACUCUGUGAUUUUUGCUGUUAAAUUUCGAGGCACUGGCUGGAAGCAAAGUAAGUCAGAGAAGGAAGAGCUGUGUGUGGGUUAGAACCCUCAGGGAAGGCUUUGGGAAGGAGGCGGCACUCCGUGAGGCCUGGCAGGGGGAGUGUUUGCCGCACAGGAGGUGGGAGGACAUUUAUGGGCAAAAAAAUGGGGCUGAGCAUGGGCUGUUCCUGGUUCAGGGAGGAGGAGGCCAGCGUCGCUGGAACACGCUGUCUCCGUCUGGGACAAAUAAGAUGAGACAUGUGAGGUCGGUGGUGUGUAAAAAGCAGAGCUGACACUUGUUGAGAGCUUGCUCUGUGGUAAGCCACAGAACCAGAUGACUCCCCACACGUUGUCUCGUGGGGUCCUCCCGACACGUCCUGGGUGAGCCCCGUCAUGGGCCGCCUCUCAAGAAGUGGAUGCAUGUCACAGAUGGGGCAGGCGCGGGAUUCAGAAGAGCCGGCUGUUUGGCCAGGCUCAGGGUUGUAAUGGGCAGGGGAGGGAGGACCUCUGAUCUGCUGCAUCUCUCCUCCUUGGGGCAGUGGAGAAUCUCUGAGAUCCAAAAGGAGGGCAGGGGCAGCUGCAUCCCAGGGGCAAGACCUGCCCUUGGAGAUGGACCACACCGAAAGAUUCUGGCCAGGGGCAUACAGCGUGGACACAGCCCACCGUGAGCGCGGAAGGCUGUGGCCUGAGCUCCUAGGUGCUUUGUCCAAGCCCUACAUAACCUGUUGGAUUAGGUCCCCAAAUUGCAGAUAAGGCAGGAGGGCCUGAAAUUCCAGAAAUUGGGGGCUCGCCCAGCUCCACGGCAGCCUGAAAUAAGGGCUCACUUCAGAAAUCCUGACUCAGCUCUGCCUACAGCCCUGGGCCCUGCCCACUGUCCCUGUCUGGCCCCUGCUGGUGCGCAAGGGAACUUCUGUCCCCUCUCCCUCUUCUCCUCCUCCUUGUUCCUGCCUUCCCUCCCGGGUCUCCCCAGCUUUUGUUCAUAAGGACCCCGAAAGUUCUUUGUACAUAUCGUGCCUCCAGGCACCCAGGCAGAGGGGAGGCUGAUGUUUUCUACUGAGGCACAUGUCCCCAGUCACACCUGGACCGUGCAGGCAUGUCCUCCAUCCUUUCUCUGCCCCCUCCCAGCUCUUUCUCAGCUGGUCCCACUCACUUCAGGGCCCCUCGAGUUCCUUCUUUCUGGCUCCUCCACCUGGCUUCAGGGUGGCCUCUGGCUCCCAUAAAACUGCCUUGCAGAGUUCCCAUCAUGGUGCAGCGGAAACGAAUCUGACUAGGAACCAUGAGGUUGGGGGUUCGAUCCCUGGCCUCACUCAGUGGGUUAAGGAUCCGGCAUUGCUGUGGGCUGUGGUGUAGGUCACAGAUGCAGCUAGGAUCUGACGUUGCUGUGGUUCUGGCGUAGGCCGGCAGCAACAGCUCCAAUUAGACCUCUAGCCUGGGAACCUCCAUAUGCCGCGGGUUUGGCCCUAAAAGGACAAAAGAAAAAAAGAAAAAGAAAGAAAAGAAAAAA